rnacentral:lncRNA from 1 species
AAAAAACAAAAACAAAACCUUUAUGUACUAGUUAAAGCCAGGAACUAUCUGGCCUCUUCAAUGGCCAAAGAGCUAUCUGGAAAAGUUUUAACUUAGAUCAGGGAAAAACUGUGAGGUCUACAAUAGUCAUAGCGCCCCAUGAACUUGAACUUAAGAAGGCUAUCUUUUGAGUAUAAGAACUCCAUUAUCUCAAAGUAACAUUUUUAUUGACUUCUCCAUGUAAAUUCACUGAGUAAUCACUUCUCACAAGUCUGACCCAAGAUAACACAUUAAGUGCAGAGUUCAACAAAUAGAUGAGAAAAGCUACUCCCCAAAUUAUAAGUUGGCAAAGAAAAACGACUUGGCAGGCAUCAGUUUUGGAAAACCAAUUUCUUAUGGAAAAAUGUCAACAGAGAUUUUACUCAAGCCAUCAAAUGUGUCCCUACUUGAUAGGACCUGGAGAGCUUAUUAUAUUUCUGUUUUCUGACUUAUCUAAACAGAACUAAAUAUUUUCAAUGUCAAUAAUGUUUAUUUUUAUAAAUAGGCCUUUGAUGUUUGAUGAUUGAAAUAUACAAAUGAUUUUAUAUGCAGUCGAGCCCGAUUUGACACAUCUGGGAAAAUAAUGCUUAACUUCUGAGGGAGUUACAGUGGUGGUGGCAGAAGGCUAUGAUUUGGUUGUGUGCGUAUAAGAGUGUAUAGUGUACAUACAUGUGCACACACAAACACACAACUUGGCUGUUUGGAAAACACUUCUUUUCCUCUUAGUUCAUUACUGCUGAGAGUCAGAGACACUGCAAUCUCAUAUAUCCAGUGUCAAUUCCAGUGACUUCCAAUGGUCUCAGCAUUAAAAUUUAGACACUGAUAAAAGACUUAAAGAGAUGCUUAGUUUUUAAAUUGAUAUUUCUAAAUCAGAUUUGAGGAAAUCACAUUUUUGUUUGUUUCAACAUGAGAAAAUCCACAAUUUUAUUGUUUGCAAAGUUUUGGCUCUUUGCAAAUACCCACUUUCUCCAAUUAUAAAGAGAAAAUACGGAAUGCUUCAUGAAUUUGCAUGUCAACAUCGCACGAGAGCCAUGUUAAUCUUCUCUGUAUCAUUCUAAUUUUAGUGCCUGUGCUGCCCAAGCAAGCACAGAAGUCGCAUGUUUUAAACCUUGCAGUAUCUCCUUUCUCUUUAAACUUUUCAUCGAGGUAGACAAAACACAUACUUUGGAAGCAGAGAUGCUGAUGCUAAUGUUUAAUAGGCUCAACAAAUCACCUUUCAGAACCUCUUCCCUUCUCUUCCUCUCACUAGACAAUCAACCACAGCAGAGUUCUGUUAACAAGGCAAAAGAUGAUACAGAAACAAAAUUGCUAAUAGGAUGUACCCAAGGAAAUCCCAAAGGACAUAUCCUAAAGUGGACCAUUCCACUAACUGGCAAAUCGCUUGUAUCUUUAAUACAUAGCUUAGAAGGGAGUAUUGAACAUCAAUCUGAACAUUGAUCGUAUAUCUAAUAUCUUACAUAUUUGAAGAAUUAUGCCAGAAACUGUGGAGGACAGACACAUGGGGGCAUACACAAGAAGGCAAGAUAUGACUUCUAUCCUUUGGGGAUUGGUGAUUGGUUUGAAGAGAUAAAGUUCAUGAAAACCACAAGAUGACUAUAAAGAUCCAACAAUCCAGAGUUGUCAGGAAAGGCUUCUUAGAAAAUCUUAGAUUUGGACUAAUGUUUGGAUGGGAAAUGUAUUAUUUUGCUCUUAAAAAAAUAAAAGAAAAGCUAUACCAUAGAUUGGGUGAUUGAAAAAACAGGAUUUUAUUAUUUUUAAUUUAAUUCAUUUUUUAUUAAAAUAGAGUUGAUUUAAAGUGUUAUGUUAAUUUCUGCAGCACAGCAUAGUGCCCCAGUCAUACUCAUAUGUAUACAUAUAUAUAUACACACACAUAAAUAUAUAUACAUACAUAUAUAUAUAUACACGUACAUGUAUAUGCUGUCUUUUUCUCAUACAAUCUUCCAUCAUGGAGGCAAUUAGAGAUUCUCAUACUAAGUGAAGUAAUUCAGAGAAAGAAAGAUAAAUACCAUAUGAUAUCACUUAUACACGGAAUCUAGAAUUUGGCACGAAGGAACCUAUCUACAAACCAGAAACAGACAAACAGACAUGAAGAAUAGACUUGUGAUUGCCAAGUGGGGAGGGCCUAGGAAAUGACAUGGACUGGGAGUUUGGGGUUGUUAGAUGCGAAGUAUGACAUUUAGAAUGGCUAAGCAAGAGGUCCUAUUCUACAGCACAGAAAUUUAGUUUCUCACAGUGGUGGAGGCUAGAAAUCCAAGGUCAAGGUGUUGGCAGCAGGGUUGGUUCCUUCUGUGACCCUCUCUGCUUGGCUAUUUUCUUGUGUCUUCACCUGUGUCGUCCCCUUGAACCUCUAGGUGUCCAAAUCCCCUCUUCUUAUAUAAAGACAUCAGUCACAGCAGAUUAGGCUCCACUCUAGUGAAAGACCCUAUUUCCAAAUACUGUCACAUUCUGAGGGAGUUGGGGUUAGGAUUUCAACAAAUAAAUUAUGGGGGAGGUGGGCAACACAGCCCCUAAUGGGAAGAAAAGUCAGAAAGUCAGAAGGAAUUUGUGCCACAACCAAGUAUACAAUUUUGGAAAAAAUACAGUAAAAUAAAGAUGUAUUGGUUUUUAUUUAGCAUAUAGAGUUUUAUUGCGGUUAUUGGCAUAGAUGAUCCAUUACCAGUCACAUAAAAGUUUUUUUCUCUUUACAUGGACCAAUCCAAAGAGCUUCAAAUUUUUUUUUAUACGAAGUAAACAAAUCUUCCUUAAGUGUGUAAAUAUUGCCUACUACAAAACUGCUACACAUUUUUUUUUUUUUUUCAGGGAGGAAAUUAGUUUUUAGAGCUAUAAAUGACUUCAUUGAUUGAAGGAUCCUUUUAUUCACUCACUCAGCCAACAUUGUUAUUAAAUAUCUACUUGUGUCUUAGCAAUGUUCUCUAUUAAGAGAAUUAAAAUACAACUCAAAUGUGAUCUUCGACUAUUCUGCAGAUGUUGAUAAUGGUAUCCAGAAUACACAGGCAAGGCUAGGUUGCUAGUUCUAGCAACCAAUUCUGCAGUCUCAACCUCACAGCUUGCCUUGCUCCCUGUGUCAUGCUGUCUCCAUGAUACUUGAACUGAAAAGCCAUGAGUAACUAAAGUUGAGCUGCAGGUACAAUCCAUUAGGCUAAUGCCAGUCCAAUCACUAAAAAGAACCCAGUAAAUCGUGGAUAUACACAGAUGAUAACAACACUAAAUUUUUAUUCUAUGUUGUCUAUGGCCGAAUCUAAUAUUGUCUAUUUUAUAUCCAUCAUUUGAAUUAUUGCUCAAAACGAUCUUGUGUGUUAGGUACAAUUAUCAUUGACAUAUUUAUAGACAAGAAACGUGAGGCUUAUAGAGUUUAGGAAAAAUACUGAGGGUCAGAGUAGCGGAUACCAUGCAUCAGGUUUUCUAUUAUCCAAUGGAACAGAAGGCACAUAUAAAGUCAUAUUUUCAUAUCUUUAUAAAGUCAUAUUUUCUCGUUUUCUCAAUCAAAACAAAACUGGGGGGGCAGGGAGAGAAGUGCCAUUAAUUUGUGGUUGAUCAUUGUAUUUUCAUGCUCAUAUUAAAGCCUCAGCCGUCUCUGAUGUACAGGAUNAAUUUCAGAAUUUUUUUGUUUUUUUGUCUUUUGCUAUUUCUUUGGGCUGCUCCCGCGGCAUAUGGAGGUUCCCAGAAAUGGCAAAGAGACAAAAAAAUAAAACAAAGUAAAAUACAUAUAUAUGUGUAUCUAUUUUCCUAAUAGAUAUAAAAGGCGACGAGAGGAAAAAAUGAGAAUUUCCAGAUGGUGUGGGAAAUCUUCAACUGUCCGAGUGUAGCAAACGAGGCUGUUCCAAUUUUCGAUCUAUUUACUAGACUUACUAUCUACAUAAACAGGCUGUGUGCUUAACCUUUUCCUAGAGCCUUUCAACUCUGCCAAGCACAACUCAAAGUCUGUCUAGCCAGACUUAAAAAGUCAUUUGAAGUAAAUGGAUUCUUGGUGAUAAAAUGAUGAUAACUUUUAAAAGUAGGUUUCUUUUCUCUGGCUAGAAGUAUGGUUUUACAUCUCCUUUUAAGUCCAGUGAAUUUUUCUCGUAUAACGAGGAAACUUCCCCAAAUUAGGCCUGACUUAUGUGGUCCUUCUACCUCUGUUCCUUUCCUAUAAGUGGUGCCAAUAGUCUACCCUGGGUUCUGGGCUCUUCGUUUCUCUUCUUAUGAUUUUUAUUUCCGAGGCUUUUGAGGAACAAUUGUUUUAAAAUAACUUCGAAUAUUAUUCUUUAAAAAUUACAUUACCAAAGUGACUCCAUAGGGGCAGGAAGUACUUUGAAAAAAUCGAAGUCUUAUCUAAAGGAUAUCUUGAAAGUAUUUUCUUAAAAACCUCCACUGACCCCUCAUUUAAUAUCUUUAUUCAGCAUCUGACUCCCCUUCCUUUGGUCAUGGGAAAGGCAUGGAGACAAAAUUCAACAGGGCUCAGAAUCCAAGUAGAGCAAGCAGGGUCACUGAACGGAACGUUUUCCAUUUAACCACCAACAUAAACUCCAAGGCAGGGCUGGUACAACGAAUGGGCCACAUGAAGCUGGUCCCAAUUGCUCACUCCUAUCUCCAAUGAACUGGGACCACUCGGCACCGACCCCAGGCCCUCCAAUACUGUAGAAAUAUUUGAAAAGAAAUGACGUAGUUCUUGUGGGAACCCUCCACCCCACGGCCCCUGUGACUGGGAGCAUAUCGGUGGACCACGUGUCCUCUGCCCCUUUUGCCUGAGUUGGUGAGGCUGAUGUGGCUCAGAGCAAGAAGGGGGAGGCAGUUUGAAUUUGAACUGGAAGUACCAUUGCCCUCUAAAAUGGAUCCGCACCUGGAAAGCCACACAGAGAAUGCAGCUGGAGAGACACCGGAGUAGAAAAAGAGGCAGAGGGAAGAUGAGAUGGACAGAUAGAUGGAUAGACAAAUAGACCAGUGGAUGAGAUGAGAAGGCUGUCUGCUACAGGAAGAAGCACCCAUCCUGAAAACACGGAGCCAUGGCUGUGGGUGAGCAUUUGCGUGAGGAUGCGUGGAUGCUCUGGCUGUGGUCCCCAAGGCAUCCUGAAGUUCCUCGGAGGCCUGCCUCUACUCUCCCUUCUCCUCAUGUGUUCCCUGCACGCCAGCUGUUCUCUCAGCACAGUUCCAUUGCACACACUAUUUUGUUUUUCUGAAAUGCUCUUUUUCCCCCAGGUCUCCACAGGCCGGCCCCAAGCUCCUUCAGGUACUUAUUCAAAGAGCAUCGGCCAAGCAGGCCUCCCCUGGCAACACUUUCAUGCACCUCUGUUCCCAACUCAAACUUCUUUACUUUUAUCUCUUCCCCAGCAACUCUCACCGCCUUAUAUUUUACAUAGUUCACCUGUUCUCUUAUUUUUUGGGUCUAAUUCCCAAGCCACACUGUGAGCUCCUGAAGGCAUCGACUCUGAUCUAUUUCAUUCCCAGCCAUAUUUCCAGCUCCUCCCCCACUGGAGGCAUCUUCUAUUUUCCAAACUAAUAAAUACCUUUAAAGGGAACAUAGCAUGGACUGUUCAUAGUUAUUCAUUUAUUAGCAUGGGCCUGAGAGAAUAAAAACGGGUGUCCCAACACACUCCUGCCUAUGUGGGUGCAGGUUCACAGGGUCAGCUUCAAGGGUGUUGACCUGGAAGGUAGCAGGAGGUCCCACACUCACAGAAUUGCUGUGCUUGGUUUAAUGUUCAAUUGUUAAUGUUCAAAUGAUGAAAUUCUUCAUCAUUUUUCACAGGCCCUCUCCCCCACUUUUAUUUUCCCCUCAGCCUCACGAAUUAGGGGACCAGUCCUGCAUCUAUGUGAGAAUCACAGCUGGGGUUCAAACCCUAAAUGUUACUUAGCGUCCUCUUUGCAUGAAUCAUAGAAAUGUAUACGGAAAGCAAUCCAUAUUCUUUUUUUUUUUUUUUUUUUUUUUUUUUGUCUUUUUGCCUUUUUCUAGGGCCGCAGGUGCGGCAUCUGGAGGUUCCCAAGCUAGGGGUCGAAUCAGAGCUGUAGCCGCUGGCCUACACCAGAGCCACAGCAACGCGGGAUCCGAGCCACAUCUGCAACCUACACCACAGCUCACCAACGCCGGAUCCUUGAUCCACUGAGCGAGGCCAGGGAUCGAACCCGCAACCUCAUGGUUCCUAGUCGGAUUCAUUAACCACUGCACCACGACGGGAACUCCA